rnacentral:rRNA from 1 species
GACGAACGCUGGCGGCGUGCCUAAUACAUGCAAGUCGAACGCAGUGGGGACGGGUGAUUAACACGUGGGUAACCUCCCAUCAGAGGGGAUAACAUUUGGAAACAGGUGCUAAACCGAUACUGGUUGAUGGACCCGCGGUGCAUUAGCUAGUUGGUGAGGUAACGGCUCACCAAGGCCACGAUGCAUAGCCGGCCUGAGAGGAUUAUCGGCAACACUGGGACUGAGACACGGCCCAGACUCCUACGGGAGGCAGCAGUGGGUAAUCUUCGGCAAUGGACGAAAGUCUGACCGAGCAACGCCGCGUGGUUGAAGAAGGUUUUCGGAUCGUAAACCUCUGUUAUUGGAGAGGCGGUAUCUAACCAGAAAGCCACGGCUAACUACGUGCCAGCAGCCGCGGUAAUAC